AUGGCAUGUUCAAUUUGCACUUUAUUUACAAACGCUAAACAUCUACGCACACAUGCCUACCCACCUUUCAUAUCCCUGUAUCUGAAACCCAAGCGAGGAAAACAGCCCAUGCGCGUGAAGCAAGCGAGGGAAUGUGCCGCUGCCUCAUCCAGCACGUUUACAAAUGGACCAACCACAAAUACACCACAGGGAAAUGUGCUUCUCUGUGUGCCAAAAUGCCAGGAUGUUAAUUCACAGAUAUCUCUGUUCAGCGUGUUGGUGUAACUGAGAUAAAUGCCAAGCUGGCUCCCUGCUGUGCGUGGUCCGACACCCCUUGGCCAUAGAGAUUCCAGCUAUUUAAGUUUGGAAAUGACAUUUCUUCACACGUCUUCCAAGAUAGCAAUGUAUGUCAAUCACCGGGAGCUCUGCCAAUGACAAUGACAAUGGAUUUGAAUUUCCCAUUCAUGCUAGGGUGAAGGGGCUAUCUCUUUGACUUCUCUGACUGGGGCCUUUCAUCUCACCCAGGAAAGUUUAUUUCCCAAGGAAUUUUCUUUGUGGUCUCAAACUUGAACGACCUUCCUUUUAUAACCUCUGAUAUCACCCAGGGUUUUAUUGCCAGGAAGUACCUCUUAGUUGACAUGCUUAAUACUGGGUUCCUGUGAUCUAUUCUAGGGAACCCCGAAACUUAGAGAGAACUGGGUUCCUGUGAUCUAUUCUAGGGAACCCCGAAACUUAGAGAGAAAACUAAGGAAAAUGAUCUGGUUUCCAGGUUUGGGAAUACCACUGAACCACUGACCUUAAGGAUACAUGGAAAAAUAACCUGUAACAUUCAAAUUCUACAAAAUACAUUGUGUUCAUACAACCGGAAGGUAUCUCCAUAUAUCAAUAUGAUUGUGGAGUUUUGUGAAAUGCUGUGUGUAUCAUGGACGCCGAAAUACUGUGGAUACCUCUCAAAUGCAUAGCAAUUUGUCUCCAUGGGUCACUCACAAAUAUCAGAUGGUAAUAGGUCAAGUAUGAGGGGAGAGAGAUAAUCUGCACAACAGUCACGUUUCACUCAUAUUUGCACACACCUUAGCCUUUAGGUGGCCCGAAGAUUUUUUCUACAUACGCAGUUUGCAAAUGUGGUUUGAAGGGGUGAGCAAUGCUAUUGUCAUCCAAGAGAAGGUAGUUUUAGGAAAAAGCAAGAGAUGUGAGCUUGAAGGAACAUUCUACCCAUCCUUCCUCUUUACCACACCCCAUUGACAAGAAGGAUACCUAGUUGGCCUCCCUAGGUACCCUCCUGUCCUGGCAGAAUAUCUAAGAGCAAUGCAGGGCUGCUUCCACCCACCUGACCAGCUCUCACAUCGAGGAAGAAAAAGGGACAGCUUAUCUAAUAACAAGACUUACUGUUCUGAAAGGAACUCCCAUUUUUCUCUGCUUGGACCAGGAGAGGCUUGUUGUCCAUCCUGGGCGUGGCCAUCCUCACCAAGGGCUAUGGAAAAGGUCUCUGGGAAGUUCCAAACCAAUAAGCAAAGAUUUGGCAAAUACCUGUGUUCCUCAGACUAAUAACGUCUUCAAAAGAGGGACAUAUUAGUCAACUCUGAUAAAAUACUUGAGAUGAUCAACUUAGAAGAAAAAAUAUUAUUUCAGAGCUACUAAUGCAUGGUGGGUUAACCCUGCUAUUUUUGGUAAAGUAACACCUCAUAGGAGGGCAGCAGAGCGUAGAUCCAAACCCAAGAAAUGAGAGGUCCCCUUUAAAGGCAUGCGCCUUCAUUGGCCUGAAACCCCUUUCUAGAAUCAGUGGGCUGAGGAUCCCAUUUUCUAACCCACAGGGCUUUUGAGGACAUCUCAGAAUCAAGCUAAGAGAGAAACAAUCUUAAGGCCCAAAUCCUUAAGACUAUUGCAGACUGGUUCUCACAUUUCUCAGGAAGUGUUCUGUCUCCCUUUGAGCUUCACUGAAUGUGUUCCUAGUGCAGAGUCAGUUUUACAGUAUUUGACUUUCUGACUAGUAUUUUUGGUCUGGUGGUUUAGGGUGGCCACUAAAAACCCCACCUUUCCCUCUGGCCUUGGCAGCUAUGAAAAACUCAGAAGAGACAGAAAUGCAACUGAAAACGUCCAGCUGCAAUGUGACUUCUAAGCUGAUGAUUUAAGAAUCUGGUUUACCUCCUGUCCACACCUGGUCCCUCCAGGUCUGAGUCCCACACAGGCUACUACUGUCAUGCUCAGAGCCGACUCUCAAACUCUACUGCCCACCCCAGAAGGUGGAAAUGUUUCUCCUUUAUUUUUCCAAUACUGGAAAAGUGAACCAAAAGUUCUUUCUCUCUAGGGGAAGACAUAAAACUAAAACUAAACACUACAACCAAAAUGCUUGACCAGAGUGCCUGCCAUGCACAGUAGACUCCCAAUCUGCAUAGCUUCAUUACAGGUCUAACUGUUGCAACUAUGGUUGAAUAUGAAAAUUUAUAGCACCUUCAGUUUCCAAGGAAUUUUUUUUCUAAACAAAAUGAAAUAUUCUACUUACCAAUCUGGAAAUGAUACUCAGUUUAUUAAAAAUGCCUGCCAGUUCUUUGACCAUAGUCCUGGGAGGAGGAAAAAAAAAACCUCAAUGAUACAGACCCAGCUUCUUGAACAAGCAGACCCACUAUGUGAGUUUCUAAGUAAGCAGACCCAUGGCAGGCUUCUCAGUCCCACUGUGUGGGUUUUUAAGUGAGAAAAACUUGUAUACCUCUGCCCUCAGCUCUGCUCCUUCAGCUCCUUCACAGUCAGAGUUGGAAGCUAAUAAAGUAGCCAAACAAAGGAACA
ensembl:lncRNA